rnacentral:tRNA from 1 species
GGGGAUGUAGCUCAGCUGGGAGAGCGCCUGCCUUGCACGCAGGAGGUCGGCGGUUCGAAUCCGCUCAUCUCCA